AUGCAGGAUGGUUUCGACAUUAUCAGCCUAAAAUAUAUUCCAUCCCAAGCAAUGCCAAUCAAAAGUAUUAAAUAUACAUCAUGUUCAUAUCCGAUAAUUAGUCAGGAUAACAAACCACAAUUCCUACGCAUCACAUACAAAACGAACUACAUAACCAGUAGACUUUCAGGAUCGGCGUCUACAGACACGGAACCUACCACCAAUGCAUUCAAUUUGACGAAUUCUUAUGUUUCAAAACCGUGA